rnacentral:rRNA from 1 species
AAUGAACGCUGGCGGCGUGCUUAACACAUGCAAGUCGAACGCGAAAGGGACUUCGGUCCUGAGUAGAGUGGCGCACGGGUGAGUAACGCGUAAGUAAUCUACCCCUGUAUCUGGAAUAACCCACCGAAAGAUGAGCUAAUACCGGAUACGUUCAGGCUGGUGCGAAUCAGUUUGAAGAAAGGUGGCCUCUUCUUGAAAGCUACUGUACAGGGACGAGCUUGCGUACCAUUAGCUAGUUGGUAGGGUAAUGGCCUACCAAGGCGACGAUGGUUAGCGGGUCUGAGAGGAUGAUCCGCCACACUGGAACUGGAACACGGACCAGACUCCUACGGGAGGCAGCAGUGAGGAAUAUUGCGCAAUGGGGGAAACCCUGACGCAGCGACGCCGCGUGGAUGAUGAAGGCCCUUGGGUCGUAAAAUCCUGUCAGGUGGAAAGAAAUGUAUAUAUGCUAAUAUCAUAUAUAUUUGACGGUACCACCAAAGGAAGCACCGGCUAACUCCGUGCCAGCAGCCGCCGUAAAAC